AAAACUUUAGUAUAUUUAGUAUUUUUAAUUGCAAAUUGAAAGGUUUAAGUUUUU
rnacentral:tRNA from 1 species